GGGAACGUUAGCGUCUUGGGAUAAUUUGCACCAGAUUCCUAAUCUGGGGGUCACAGGUUCAAAUCCUGUCGUCCUCACCA
rnacentral:tRNA from 1 species